CACACACAAACUCCUUCAAGCUUCCGAGUCAUAGACCAGCAUGGACUUCAAUAAGGCACUGAAAACAACAGGAAACGCAUUAUUGACUGGGACGAGGCUGGGAUAAAUCCUGACUGAAAGAUUUCAUGAAUGUCUUCAUUUCAUGACUGUCAGUCUGUAUAUGGUGUAACCUCAGUGACACCUCAAGCCUCUUUUCUGCUGCCUGCCCCAGCUCUAGAUUCUGCAAAUGGGAGCAACACCUUCCCGGGUGGAAUCGACUCUAUCCUGGCUUAAAUGGCUAGAUUUACUGAAAUAAGAUAGGAACUUUAUCUGUAUCUGUUGUGACCAUCAUAUUAGGACUGGGUCUAGGGCUUGGACUUCAGCUGCAAAAGUGCAAGAACAAG
ensembl:lncRNA